rnacentral:lncRNA from 1 species
CCUCUACAACCCUUAUCUGACCCCUCUAGACUAUAUCCACCCUUUGUAUAGCCUAAUGUCAUCAAAAGACUAGAUAGGGAUGGAUAUUUACCUUUUUCUUUUUGGAAAUCGAGGUCCUUGCGUAGAGGGGAAGGAGAUCUACGUUUUUUCCUUCAGCUGGAAGUGCAACCGGGAUCCCUUUCCUCCUUGAAUCCCCUUCCUCUUCUUCUUUCUUCUUCUUCUUCUUCUCUUUUUCUUUCUUUCUUUCCUCUGUUUCACGCCUGAGAACCCCCUCCCUCUUUGUCUCUCGGUUUCAUUCCAAAGCCACAGCAAACCCUCCAAUUAAAUCACAUCAAGACACUAUUCACCCUUUGUUUAAUAUUAUUAAAUUCUCAUUUUGCCCCUAACACUUCAACAUAUCUACCGUUAUGCCAUUAACUUUUGAUUCCUUCCAAUUUUACCCUUACCACUUCAAUGCAUCUACAACUAUGCCAUUAUCUUUUGAUUCUUUCCUAUUUUACCCCUUAUAUUAAUUGAAAAGGACUAUUCUAUCCCUUUUUAUAUAUAAAAAAAAUUU